AUGAACGCUGGCGGCGUGCCUAAUACAUGCAAGUCGAGCGAACAGACGAGGAGCUUGCUCCUCUGACGUUAGCAGCGGACGGGUGAGUAACACGUGGAUAACCUACCUAUAAGACUGGGAUAACUUCGGGAAACCGGAGCUAAUACCGGAUAAUAUAUUGAACCGCAUGGUUCAAUAGUGAAAGACGGUUUUGCUGUCACUUAUAGAUGGAUCCGCGCCGCAUUAGCUAGUUGGUAAGGUAACGGCUUACCAAGGCAACGAUGCGUAGCCGACCUGAGAGGGUGAUCGGCCACACUGGAACUGAGACACGGUCCAGACUCCUACGGGAGGCAGCAGUAGGGAAUCUUCCGCAAUGGGCGAAAGCCUGACGGAGCAACGCCGCGUGAGUGAUGAAGGUCUUCGGAUCGUAAAACUCUGUUAUUAGGGAAGAACAAAUGUGUAAGUAACUAUGCACGUCUUGACGGUACCUAAUCAGAAAGCCACGGCUAACUACGUG
rnacentral:rRNA from 1 species